GAUGAAGAACGUAGCGAAUUGCGAUAAGUAAUGUGAAUUGCAGAAUUCAGUGAAUCAUCGAAUCUUUGAACGCACAUUGCGCCCGCCAGUAUUCUGGCGGGCAUGCCUGUUCGAGCGUCAUUACAACCCUCAGGCCCCCGGGCCUGGCGUUGGGGAUCGGCGGAGCCCCCCGUGGGCACACGCCGUCCCCCAAAUGCAGUGGCGGUCCCGCCGCAGCUUCCAUCGCGUAGUAGCUAACACCUCGCGACUGGAGAGCGGCGCGGCCACGCCGUAAAACACCCAACUCUUCUGAAGUUGACCUCGAAUCAGGUAGGAAUACCCGCUGAACUUAAGCAUAUCAAUAAGCGGAGGA
rnacentral:misc_RNA from 1 species